CCUACGGGAGGCAGCAGUGGGGAAUAUUGGACAAUGGGCGCAAGCCUGAUCCAGCCAUGCCGCGUGUGUGAAGAAGGUCUUCGGAUUGUAAAGCACUUUAAGUUGGGAGGAAGGGCAGUAAGCGAAUACCUUGCUGUUUGACGUUACCGACAGAAUAAGCCCCG
rnacentral:rRNA from 1 species